AUUGAACGCUGGCGGCAUGCCUUACACAUGCAAGUCGAACGGUAACAGGUUAAGCUGACGAGUGGCGAACGGGUGAGUAAUGUAUCGGAACGUGCCCAGUCGUGGGGGAUAACUGCCCGAAAGAGCAGCUAAUACCGCAUACGACCUGAGGGUGAAAGCGGGGGAUCGCAAGACCUCGCGCGAUUGGAGCGGCCGAUAUCAGAUUAGGUAGUUGGUGGGGUAAAGGCCUACCAAGCCUACGAUCUGUAGCUGGUCUGAGAGGACGACCAGCCCAACUGGGACUGAGACACGGCCCAGACUCCUACGGGAGGCAGCAGUGGGGAAUUUUGGACAAUGGACGCAAGUCUGAUCCAGCCAUGCCGCGUGCGGGAAGAAGGCCUUCGGGUUGUAAACCGCUUUUGUCAGGGAAGAAAAGGUUCUGGUUAAUACCUGGGACUCAUGACGGUACCUGAAGAAUAAGCACCAGCUAACUACGUGCCAGCAGCCGCGGUAAUAC
rnacentral:rRNA from 1 species